GACAGAGGUCCCGAGCGUUAGGCGGAAUCACUGGGCUUAAAGCAUGUGUAGGCGGAUUUGCAAGUACCUUGUGAAAUCCCACAGCUUAACUGUGGAACUGCUUGGUAUACUGCUUAUCUUGGGCCACUUAGGGGUUACCGGAACAAACGGUGGAGCGGUGAAAUGCGUAGAUAUCGUUUGGAACGCCAAUGGUGAAAACAGGUAACUGGGAGUGUGCCGACGCUGAGACACGAAAGCCAGGGGAGCGAACGGG
rnacentral:rRNA from 1 species